AUACGGAGGAUCCGAGCGUUAUCCGGAUUUAUUGGGUUUAAAGGGAGCGUAGGUGGAUUGUUAAGUCAGUUGUGAAAGUUUGCGGCUCAACCGUAAAAUUGCAGUUGAAACUGGCAGUCUUGAGUACAGUAGAGGUGGGCGGAAUUCGUGGUGUAGCGGUGAAAUGCUUAGAUAUCACGAAGAACUCCGAUUGCGAAGGCAGCUCACUAGACUGUUACUGACACUGAUGCUCGAAAGUGUGGCUAUCAAACAGGAUUAGAUACCCUGGUAGUCCACACAGUAAACGAUGAAUACUCGCUGUUUGCGAUAUACAGUAAGCGGCCAAGCGAAAGCAUUAAGUAUUCCACCUGGGGAGUACGCCGGCAACGGUGAAACUUAAAGGAAUUGACGGGG
rnacentral:rRNA from 1 species